UACGGAGGGUCCAAGCGUUAUCCGGAAUCAUUGGGUUUAAAGGGUCCGUAGGCGGUUUAGUAAGUCAGUGGUGAAAGCCCAUCGCUCAACGGUGGAACGGCCAUUGAUACUGCUAAACUUGAAUUAUUGGGAAGUAACUAGAAUAUGUAGUGUAGCGGUGAAAUGCUUAGAGAUUACAUGGAAUACCAAUUGCGAAGGCAGGUUACUACCAAUAUAUUGACGCUGAUGGACGAAAGCGUGGGGAGCAAACAGG
rnacentral:rRNA from 1 species